rnacentral:rRNA from 1 species
UUCGAUUAGUUUGAUCCUGGCUCAGGACGAACGCUGGCGGCGUGCCUAACACAUGCAAGUGGAGCGACGAACCAGGGCUUGCCCUGGGGCCAAGCCGCGAACGGGUGAGUAACACGUGGGUAACCUGCCCCGAUGACCGGGACAACCCGAGGAAACUCGGGCUAAUACCGGAUGUGGUGUACACAUAUAAAGUGUGUCCACUAAAGGAAGCUUCGGCCUCCGCAUUGGGAUGGGCCCGCGGCCCAUUAGCUAGUUGGUGGGGUAAAGGCCUACCAAGGCAACGAUGGGUAGCUGGUCUGAGAGGACGAUCAGCCACACUGGGACUGAGACACGGCCCAGACUCCUACGGGAGGCAGCAGUGGGGAAUCUUGCGCAAUGCGCGAAAGCGUGACGCAGCAACGCCGCGUGAGGGAAGACGGCCUUCGGGUUGUAAACCUCUUUCAGGAGGGACGAAGGUCCGCCCACGAAUAGCGAGGCGGAUUGACGGUACCUCCAGAAGAAGCCCCGGCUAACUACGUGCCAGCAGCCGCGGUAAUACGUAGGGGGCAAGCGUUGUCCGGAAUCAUUGGGCGUAAAGCGCGCGUAGGCGGCCCGGUAAGUCCGCUGUGAAAGUCAAAGGCUCAACCUUUGAAUGCCGGUGGAUACUGUCGGGCUAGAGUCCGGAAGAGGCGAGUGGAAUUCCUGGUGUAGCGGUGGAACG